AUCCGAUCGGAUGGUUGAUCAACAAUUAAGAAUCGUUCUAGGGUUAAAUGAUCAAUACGAUUGACAUUUAACCUAGUGCAAGUGUUGCAGGAGGAUCGAUUAGCAAUUUGAUUGCUAAUUGACUUAAUUUGAUUAAGCCAAUGGGCUGAGAUUAAGUCUAAUUAAAUAUGAUUUAAUUAGAUUUAGUUUGGACUUGAUUGGAUCAAGUCCAAUUGGUUUAUUGGAUAAGCCAAUUGCAAAGAAAAACUAGUCCUAGUUCAACUAGGACUUGGGU
rnacentral:lncRNA from 1 species